UACGUAGGGUGCGAGCGUUAAUCGGAAUUAUUGGGCGUAAAGGGCGCGUAGGCGGUUUGUUAAGUCGGCUGUGAAAGCCCGGGGCUCAACCCCGGAGGGUCAGCCGAUACUGGCAGACUAGAGUACGGAAGAGGUAGCUGGAAUUCCUGGUGUAGCGGUGAAAUGCGCAGAUAUCAGGAGGAACACCGGUGGCGAAGGCGGAUCUCUGGGC
rnacentral:rRNA from 1 species